GCUUGUCUCAAAGAUUAAGCCAUGCAUGUCUAAGUACAAGCCUCACUAAGGUGAAACCGCGAAUGGCUCAUUAAAUCACACCUAAUCUACUGGAUAGUUAACAGUUACUUGGAUAACUGCGGUAAUUCUGGAGCUAAUACAUGCACAAAGCCUCGAACUUACGUGAGAGGCGCUUUUAUUAGAUCAAAACCAAACGUUUUCGAACGUUUUCUUGGUGACUCUGAAUAACUUUGGGCUGAUCGCAUAGCCUAGCGCUGGCGACAUAUCCUUCGAAGGUGUGCCCUAUCAACUGUCGACUGUGGCAUAGACGCCCACAGUGGUUUUGACGGGUAACGGGGAAUCAGGGUUCGAUUCCGGAGAGGGAGCCUUAAAAACGGCUACCACAUCUAAGGAAGGCAGCAGGCACGCAAAUUACCCAAUGACCGAAGGUCGAGGUAGUGACGAAAAAUAACGAUACGGGACUCUUCCGAGGCCCCGUAAUCGGAAUGAGUACACUUUAAAACCGUCCCCGAGGAUCUAUUGGAGGGCAAGUCUGGUGCCAGCAGCCGCGGUAAUUCCAGCUCCAAUAGCGUAUAUUAAAGUUGUUGUGGUUAAAAAGCUCGUAGUUGGAUCUCGGCAGUCUGAGGUUGGUGUACUUGCUAGUACUACUGCCCUAUAGACUGUAGUUUUGCCAGAGGUGCCCGGGUGCUCUUAAUCGAGUGUCCUGGUAUGCUGGCAGGUUUACUUUGAAAAAAUUAGAGUGCUCAAAGCAGGCUUUUACGCCUGAAUAUUCGUGCAUGGAAUAAUAGAAUAGGAAGUCGUUUCUAUUUUGUUGGUUUUCGGAAAUCGACUUAAUGAUUAAUAGGGACAGUCGGGGGCAUUUGUAUUCAAACGACAGAGGUGAAAUUCUUGGACCGUUUGAAGACAAACUACUGCGAAAGCAUUUGCCAAGAAUGUUUUCAUUAAUCAAGAACGAAAGUUAGAGGUUCGAAGGCGAUUAGAUACCGCCCUAGUUCUAACCAUAAACGAUGCCAGCUAGCGAUCUGCCGACGUUUUUUUUGUAGACUCGGCAGGAAGCUUCCGGGAAACCAAAGCAUUUGGGUUCCAGGGGAAGUAUGGUUGCAAAGCUGAAACUUAAAGGAAUUGACGGAAGGGCACCACCAGGAGUGGAGCCUGUGGCUUAAUUUGACUCAACACGGGAAAUCUCACCAGGCCCGGACACUGGAAGGAUUGACAGAUUGAUAGCUCUUUCUUGAUUCGGUGGGUGGUGGUGCAUGGCCGUUCUUAGUUGGUGGAGUGAUUUGUCUGGUUAAUUCCGAUAACGAACGAGACUCUGUCCUGCUAAAUAGUGUCGGCUUCUCUUUUGAGCCGAUAAUUCUUCUUAGAGGGACUGGCAACUCUCAGUUGCACGAGAUUGAGCAAUAACAGGUCUGUGAUGCCCUUAGAUGUUCUGGGCCGCACACGCGCUACACUGAAUAGAUCAGCGUGUUCUCCCUUUCUGAGAAGAACGGGUAAACCGCUGAACCCUAUUCGUGGUAGGGAUCGGGGCUUGCAAUUGUUCCCCGUGAACCAGGAAUUCCCAGUAGGC
rnacentral:rRNA from 1 species